ensembl:scaRNA
GGCCUGUCUCCCAGGGGAUUGUUGGGGUCCCUUUUCUCCUUAGCCAGGUGAGAGGCCAAGCCCAGCUCUUGAGGGUCAUCAGGACUGUCAUGAGCUGGGCAGCCUUGUUUUCCUACCUCAGAUAGUU